rnacentral:tRNA from 1 species
GGCUUCGUAGCUCAGCUGGUAGAGCGCUUGCCGCGUAGAGGCAUGGUGUUUCUGCCGCUGGUUCGAAUCCAGCCGAAGCCC